rnacentral:misc_RNA from 1 species
UAGUCACAUAUCUAGCGAUCCUUUAAGCAUUUAGAUCAUUUUACAGUUUAAUAAAUAUGCUUCGUAAUCUGCCAAAUGGACUGAAAUUGUGCGGGCGUUUAGUGCCCAUUCGUUUCGCAAGUAAUAUAAAAGCCGAGGAGUUCAUAAAGGUAAAAAAUCAACAAGGCGUGCGUAAAAUCACAUUAUGCCAUCCGCGUACACGGAAUUCCCUCUCGAUGGACAUGAUGUGCGCCCUGCACGAGGCACUCAUCGCGGAUCGGGAAAAUGUAGAGCUGCGAUGCGUUGUUCUGACGGCCGAGGGCAAAGUUUGGUCUGCUGGCCACAAUUUAAAGGAGCUGCAGCCCAACGAUAUUCAAUUUCGGGACUCUGUUUUCCAAAAGUUAACCGACAUUGUGCUGGACAUAAAAAAGUUGCCUGUGCCGGUGAUAGCCAAGGUUAAUGGCUAUGCGGCUGCGGCUGGCUGUCAGCUGGCGGCUUCCUGCGACAUUAUUGUGGCCUCGGACAAGAGCAUGUUCUCCACGCCUGGCGCCGGCGUUGGUGUAUUCUGCAACACGCCCGGCGUGGCCGUUGGACGCGUCAUGUCGCGCCCCAAGUCGGCGUACAUGCUAAUGACUGGCCUGCCUCUAAGCAGUCAGGAGGCCUACGUGGCUGGCUUGGUCACAAAAGUGGUACCGGAAAACGAGCUGGAGAAAACAAUUGAGGAAAUUGUCGGUGCCAUCAGAGAAAAAAGUCGUGCCGUUAUCGCCCUCGGCAAGGAAUUUUACUAUCAACAGCUCAAUAUGCCGCUCGAGGAUGCCUACAUUAAGGCCAAGGCUAAAAUGAAUGAAAAUCUGCAAUUAGAAGACUGCAAGGAGGGCAUGAGCAGCUUCGUUGAGAAGCGUGCGCCCAAAUGGAAGCAUACCAAAUGAGAUCUGUCACCUGCCGAGAUAAACUAUCAGUUGUAUGGACCCGAACAAAUGUGCAUUUAGCUUAUGUAUGGACAAAUAUAGUUAAGAACUUAUUAUGCAUUUUAAACGCACUCGUCUACGUUCUUGCCAUCCUGAUCAUCUCGUUAAUCAUCCUUACGGCUGCAUAUGAUAAUGGAGUUAAUCAAGGACACUGAACAUGAAACUGAAGCACACAUUGUUCGCUACUUAGACGGAAGUCAUUGAUGGUAUCAACCACAAUGUCG